UCGGUUGAUCCUGCCGGACACUUGAUACCACCUCAGGACAGACACUCCGCCGAUGGCGGACGCAGCCGACAAAUAAAUCCAAUCCCCGUUUUGCAGAUUUUGGGUAUUGUCCGCAACCGCGACUGUGGUGUUGCCGUCCGUCGUCGUAAACGGAUUUGUCAAAGUGCCGCCGGAAAUGGUUCUCAGAGGCGUGAUAUCGGUCAAAUUCCCAUUCAUCAUGGUGUAAAGAUGGCUUUCAGUGCCGAUGCCGGUUUGCGCGUUGCCGGAAGCGUCGUGCCACACGCGGACAGACCUCGGAAUGUCGACGGUUUUUCCGGAAGUCGCCAAAGCCCACCCCGCGAUCUUCAGCGGGAACCCGGCGAUAAACUCGACAUCGUAUGCGCCGACCCACCUUCCGGAACCUUGCCGGAACGCAUUUCCCGACGCGACGUACGCGGCAUCUUUGCCCGCUGCGUAAUUGGACGCGGACAAGCAAAUUCCAGUCGGAGGGGCGACGGGAACCAAUGUCAUCCCGCCCCCCAAGACGGGGAACCCGCCGCAUAUCCCGGAAUGCCUCCACCCAUAAUAAUCGCCCCCGCUUGCACCGNCCGCUUCGACCUGUCGCUUUCCGCUUGGGCGGCAUCCAAUGCGUCUUGCGCGAGCGUGUCCCAUAUGUGCGGUCGCUAUUGCUUGGGC
rnacentral:rRNA from 1 species